rnacentral:rRNA from 1 species
GGAUUAGAUACCCUGGUAGUCCACGCCGUAAACGAUGCGCACUAGAUCGGAGACACUCUCACGUGCUUUCGGUCGAAGGAAAACUGUUAAGUGCGCCGCCUGGGGAGUACGGUCGCAAGGCUAAAACUCAAAGGAAUUGACGGGGGCUCACACAAGCGGUGGAGCAUGUUGCUUAAUUCGAGGCAACGCGAAGAACCUUACCUGGGUUUGACAUGCACGGAUUAACUCUGUGAAAGCAGAGCCACGCCCUCGGGUGGAACGUGCACAGGUGCUGCAUGGCUGUCGUCAGCUCGUGCCG